UACGUAGGGAGCUAGCGUUGUCCGGAAUCAUUGGGCGUAAAGCGCGCGUAGGCGGCCCGGUAAGUCCGCUGUGAAAGUCAAAGGCUCAACCUUUGAAUGUCAGCGGAUACUGCCGGGCUAGAGUCCGGAAGAGGAGAGUGGAAUUCCUGGUGUAGCGGUGAAAUGCGCAGAUAUCAGGAAGAACACCCGUGGCUAAGGCGGCUCUCUAGUACGGUACUGACGCUGAGACGCGAAAGCGUGGGGAGCGAACAGG
rnacentral:rRNA from 1 species